rnacentral:rRNA from 1 species
CUAGCCCUAAACGAUGGAUACUUGGUGUGUGGGGUAUUAAGUCCCUACGUGCCGGAGCUAACGCGUUAAGUAUCCCGCCUGGGGAGUACGGUCGCAAGACUGAAACUCAAAGGAAUUGACGGGGACCCGCACAAGCGGUGGAGCAUGUGGUUUAAUUCGACGCAACGCGAAGAACCUUACCUGGGCUAGAAUGCACGAGGCAUAUAGCAGAGAUGUUAUAGCUGGGCAACCAGUCGCGUGCAAGGUGC